rnacentral:rRNA from 1 species
GUGUCUAUGACGAAGAGGGUCCACCCGUUCCCAUCCCGAACACGGUAGUUAAGCUCUUCGGUGCCGAAAAUACUUGGCGGGCUGCCGCCCGGGAAAAUAGGUCGAUGCU